CGAUCGUGUUAGCAUCGCUCUGAUCAAAACCAUUCAAACAUCUAGCCAUGUGCCUCCCAUCCUCCUCCACAUUGGCUCUAAUCAUAACCAUCCUCCAUCUCUUUAUAACUCGUCACGCUCUGGUACCUUAGAUGAGGCCUGCACUUAAGUAGAGAUCCCGGUAGUAGUGACUUGGUACAAAUCGUCGUCUCAGGACUCUCUUCAUCUCAUUCCAAGUUCAAUAGGACGUUCUCAUUCCACCUCCUAUUGGAUGACCAAAACUUGAUCCCACACACAAUAGCAUAGUCAGUUAAAAUUCGGAUUGCGGCAAGCUGUUCUACCUUCUUAAUUCUGAGUAAUUGUGACAACAAAAAUCAACUCCAUCUUAUUUCCCAAUGAGGUAUGCUCGAGAUCACUUUUCCUUGAAAAGCAGGAAUCUUUAUCUGAUACUUCCUAGGUUGUGAUCAAACCACGGUGUCUAGCUCCUCAUCCCUGCCAUAUAUCCGUAGCUGCCCACUGAACAUCCUAUCUAUUCCUCCUCUAUACGUCCCUUCAAACUCAUCCAAAUAUUCCAAUUCUCUUUGGUGACAAUCUACCUCCUAUGGGACAUUUGGAGCAAAGUGGUGGCUGCACCGUUGUGUUCCCUCUUCUGCCCAUAUCCAACCUCUCGUGUAUAUGCUCUAACUCUGCAUCAUCAUCCGUCUAAUCUCCCCAUUAUGCUUGUAUUUGUUAGAUUCGGAACACUGUGGGGGAGUUCUUCGCGUGUGAUUUUCUCUUGAUUUCGAGACAUGAUUGAGAUCUGCAACAAGGGUUAGAUAAUAGGGAAAGACCUCACUACACUCCCUUACGUUUUCACUCGAAAGGAUGAUACACCUCGAUUUCUCUCUAGUAUUUUGCCUCAAUUAAUUUUUGACUUUACCUCUUAUAUUCUCACACACCGCCUUUUUCCACUCAUAUUAUUCUUUUAGUCCUUUAAUGCUUAACUACUAACAAAAAGGAUUCAAGUAGCCAAUCAAGAUAAGAAUAAACCAAACGAAUCAGAUUUCCUUUAAGCAAUUCUUUUUCGACUUUUUUUUUGACUCUAACGUGAUGCAAACGAAUUCAAGAGUCAUCCAAUACAGAAUCCAAAAACUAAACCGAAAUCUUAAUCAAGAACGAAGAAAGGGAGCAAUCAAAACAUUUUUUUUACUCUAGCUUGAUGCUGGUCGAAUCAAAGAAUAACCCAAAACAAAAAACCAAACUAAUUGAAACGAAAUUCUCAAUCAAGAACGAAGAUAAGGGAGCAAUCUAACCAAUUUUUUUACUCUAACUUGAUGCAGUUGAUCAAAGACAAUCCGAAACGAGAACCCAAAACAAAUUGAAACCCGAAAUCUCAAUCAAGAACGAGAUAAGGAAGCAAUCUAACCAAUUUUUUUUUUUGAAUCUGGCCAUAUAAAGACUCGAUUUAACAAGAAAAAUCAGAAGAAUGGGCAUGUCAAGAAGAAAAAAAAAUUGAUAGACAAACUGAGGAAUGUAGGGAUCUGAUACCAACUGAUACGAACCACGCACAACGUGACGAAACUCGAUACCAAUCUUAAACAACAAAACCCAAAACUCUUCAAGUUUGAUGGAAAACGCGGGACUGUUGCUUAGCCCAAAGCAAGAACCUUGGUAUGAUGAAGACGCCACAACGGAAUGGAUGAUCUGUUUGAUAAGUCAGGUUUGAACGCCACAAGGAAUCCUGAUAAGUUCAGCUUAGUUUCUGAAAGAGUUCAAGAAGAAAUAAACGCCCAAUCUCUCUAUUUUUACGUGAUUUUCGAAAUUGAUAGCAUACCCUUGUUAUAGCCUUACAAGAUAAAAAAAUCUAAUUUAUCUUAUCUCAACUUAUCUUAAUAAAAGAAAUUUCUAGUUCAAAUUAAGGUUGUCUUUGGAGAUAAGUCAAAUCUGAUCUUAUCUCCAAUCUAAUGAUAAUCCUAAUCAAAAUCUACAUCGAAGAAAUACAAAGAAGUUAAAUCCUAAUCUGAUAUUUAAACUUUUCUGAAUUUGAAAAUUCUGGACUUUGUAAACAAUCAUGCUUGAUUCUUUGCUAGUAAAAAAAACAAAAAGAAAAGGGAGAACACAUCCCUCCGUUAAACCAUGCCCCCGUCGUACAUACCACUACACCCCCAUAACCCCGCACCCAGCUAAACUUCAAUCUUCUUUUAUUCACUUCUCAGCAAACCCCCCCCCCACCUGAUCCCUCUUCCCAUUUCCCGUUCCCGACCCGAUCCCCCCACAUACAUUACGCAUUCCCCUCCUCUCCUCCCUCUCCUAGCCCCUCCUCACCGCCCCCCCUGCCCCCCCCUCCCACCCCCCAUCCCCCCCAUCCACCCCUCCAACCAAUCACCCUCUACAUCGCACCCCACUACGCAUCGCCCAUCAUCAGUCAUCCUGUUCUCAACUUCAUUCCUCUCCCUAUUACCUUUCACCACUCUUGCCCCCCCUCGCAUCCCCCCCUCCUCCCUUUCCCUUCUUUCACCUCUCCCGCCCCCCUUGACUCCCA
rnacentral:lncRNA from 1 species